GAGGGUAUAGCUCAGUGGCAGAGUGCAUGCUUAGCAUGCAUGAGGUCCUGGGUCUGGUCUCCAGUACCUUUA
rnacentral:tRNA from 1 species